AUCCAGAAAACUACUUUUUCAAAAUGAAGAAAAUAAAAGUUUUCAGCUGCAUCCUGUAUUGUUCCUAAGGGAGCUCCUGGGAGACUGAUGCUGAUACAAGGAAAAGAACUCCCAAAGCACGUUCUGGCAACAACCUGAAAGAGAUGAUAACAUGAAAUUAAAUCUAUGACAAAAAUCUGAAAUUAUGGAAAAAGCCGCAUCACAGGUUUUGAACCUGAGCUCUGGUGAGAACACUUGUGUCAGCAGAGCAGCUACGCUGGUCAAAAAGAUGUGAGGAAAGGAGAAGCCUUGCUUCACAUGGCUGAGAGAAGCACUGGAGCCUUUCUAAAGAUACUGCCUUAGCAUCUGUGACCUAAAUCUUCUGAUAUUAAAAAGAGGAGAGGAAAACUAAUAAGCAGCAGUUCCAUAGCUCUUUCUGAAACUUCUCUGGGGCUGCUGGUUAGAGAAACUGUUUUCUGAAGUAGAUGGGAAAUACCUAUCUGUUUAGAAAAAUGCACUCUCUUCUUCUUCUCUUUCCCUGUCAAACCCUUAGCUGUAUUGUUCACUACUAUAUAAUUACUUUGAAAAAGUGAACCAUAAGGAACUAAAAUGGAUCUCAGAAUAAUUUUUCUAUGUAUAAAAUCUACUGAUGUCAUUAAAAAGAAUCA